rnacentral:rRNA from 1 species
CGGUCAAGCAAGAAAGAGCACAAGGGGAAUGCCUUGGCACCGGAAGCCGAAGAAGGACGUGACAAGCUGCGAAAAGCUGCGGGGAAUCGCAAAUAGGUAUUGAUCCGCAGAUAUCCGAAUGGGGAAACCCGGCUGAGAAAAGCUCAGUCAUCCGUAACUGAAUACAUAGGUUGCGGAAGGGAAACGCCGCGAACUGAAACAUCUAAGUAGCGGCAGGAAGAGAAAGAAAAAUCGAUUUCCUUAGUAGCGGCGAGCGAA